rnacentral:rRNA from 1 species
UACGUAGGGUGCAAGCGUUAUCCGGAAUUAUUGGGCGUAAAGAGCUCGUAGGCGGUUUGUCGCGUCUGCUGUGAAAACUGGAGGCUCAACCUCCAGCCUGCAGUGGGUACGGGCAGACUAGAGUGCGGUAGGGGGAGAUUGGAAUUCCUGGUGUAGCGGUGGAAUGCGCAGAUAUCAGGAGGAACACCGGUGGCGAAGGCGGGUCUCUGGGCCGAUACUGACGCUGAGGAGCGAAAGCGUGGGGAGCGAACAGG